rnacentral:rRNA from 1 species
CGACGGGGGGUGCUAGCGUUGUUCGGAAUUACUGGGCGUAAAGGGCGCGUAGGCGGCUCUGCGAGUCGGGCGUGAAAUCCCGGGGCUCAACCCCGGAACGGCGCUCGAUACUGCGGGGCUGGAGACCGGAAGAGGAGGGUGGAAUUCCCAGUGUAGAGGUGAAAUUCGUAGAUAUUGGGAGGAACACCGGUGGCGAAAGCGGCUCUCUGGUCCGGUUCUGACGCUGAGGCGCGAAAGCGUGGGGAGCAAACAGGAUUAGAAACCCCAGUAGUCC